UACGAAGGGGGCUAGCGUUGCUCGGAUUGACUGGGCGUAAAGGGCGCGUAGGCGGUUCGUACAGUCAGACGUGAAAUUCCUGGGCUCAACCUGGGGGCUGCGUUUGAUACGUGCGGACUUGAGUGCGGAAGAGGGUCGUGGAAUUCCCAGUGUAGAGGUGAAAUUCGUAGAUAUUGGGAAGAACACCGGUGGCGAAGGCGGCGACCUGGUCCGAUACUGACGCUGAGGCGCGAAAGCGUGGGGAGCGAACAGG
rnacentral:rRNA from 1 species